AUACUAAAUAAAAGAUUUUCUAUGGUACAAAUAACAAUACAUAAACAAUCGAGAGCCAUAUAAUGAGUUCAGAGGAUAACAGGCUAAGUUGCUCGACACUGCAGAUUAGGUGUCGCACCUCUGUCGACACAACACUAGUAUGGAUGUGGACAUGGGAUCUGUACUAGAUCUAGUCAAAUAAUUGUGGGUACUUUGACCACAACAGACGGAAGAUUUUGAGACCAGAUACAAUUUGAUUCCCGAAAUCAGAAUCAAA
rnacentral:lncRNA from 1 species